rnacentral:rRNA from 1 species
GCAAGUCGAGCGGUAACAGAGAGGUGCUUGCACCUUUGCUGACGAGCGGCGGACGGGUGAGUAAUGCUUGGGAACAUGCCUUGAGGUGGGGGACAACAGUUGGAAACGACUGCUAAUACCGCAUAAUGUCUACGGACCAAAGGGGGCUUCGGCUCUCGCCUUUAGAUUGGCCCAAGUGGGAUUAGCUAGUUGGUGAGGUAAUGGCUCACCAAGGCGACGAUCCCUAGCUGGUUUGAGAGGAUGAUCAGCCACACUGGGACUGAGACACGGCCCAGACUCCUACGGGAGGCAGCAGUGGGGAAUAUUGCACAAUGGGGGAAACCCUGAUGCAGCCAUGCCGCGUGUGUGAAGAAGGCCUUCGGGUUGUAAAGCACUUUCAGCGAGGAGGAAAGGAAGUAGAUUAAUACUCUGCUUCUGUGACGUUACUCGCAGAAGAAGCACCGGCUAACUUCGUGCCAGCAGCCGCGGUAAUACGAGGGGUGCAAGCGUUAAUCGGAAUUACUGGGGCGUAAAGCGUGCGUAGGCGGUUU